GGGGAGCAAGCUUUUACUGAUAAAAUGAGGUCAACUAAGGUCGCGCUACACCGUCCCGCGGCGCGUAAAACCUGCGUAAAAGCUCUUGUGUUGUUUUUUUUUUUUUUUUAAAGCUGCACUCUUGAACUCCCGUCGGUUCUUCACUCAGACAAAUCGCCAUCUCUCAAAGCUGCAACCACCCCCCCCCCCCCUCCCCCCAAAAGGAGAAGGAGAGAAAGAAGAAGAAGGAGAAGAAGAAGAGGAAGAGGAAGAAGAAGGGGUUCCUGGGAUAUUAUUGCGCGAGGCGGCACCGGUUGGUUGAGCCACCACCGGGCACGCGGGCGGGUUGACUGUGCGCGCCACCUGCAGGAGGACUGCGAUGUGGAUUAACACCGCGGGUUCAGCGGAGGACACCCUUCCGUCACUGCUUUGACCUACAUUACCCGGGAACAACCGCAGGAACAACCGGCACCGGUCCCGUCAGAAUUGUGUGUUUUGUUCUUUCUUUUUAGGACCACGGACUGUGCACAUGCUCGUGUCCGCGUGGUGGUGCGCGCCUUCCCCCGGAAACCCGUGUUGAUUACCACGGCUCAGCCGGCACCACGUGCACGCGGGGAGGAUUCAACGCAGAGAACAUUUUGUUUUAGGCUCUGAGUGAUUUGCAUGUUUGACUGGACAUGGCCUUUAUUCCCGCGUGCCGCUGGCACCAUGGAAACAACACCACUACAAUAUAGAAUAUGCUUACGUCAUGUAUGUAUGUUUAUUUAUUAUUUAAUAGAAACACAUAGUUUAUUCCCUGAAUAGACUAAUGAGUCAGGCUUUGUGCAAAGCGUGUUUUAUUUGACUAACGUAGUGCAAUAAAAAUAUAAAUCACA